rnacentral:rRNA from 1 species
ACUAAGCGGAGGAAAAGAAACUAACAAGGAUUCCCCCAGUAACGGCGAGUGAAGCGGGAAGAGCUCAGGUUGAAAAUCCGGCCUUCGGGCCAGAAUUGUAGUCUGUAGAGGCGGCGCCUCCCGCCGGCCGCGGCGAAGUCUGAUUGGAAAUGAGCAUCANGGAGGGUGAUAGUCCCGUUCGUGCCGCGGUCGUCGUGCGGAAUGAUGGCCCGUUUUCGACGAGUCGAGUUGCUUGGGAUUGCAGCUCUAAGUGGGUGGUAAACUCCAUCUAAAGCUAAACACGCGGGGGAGACCGAUAGCGAACAAGUACCGUGAGGGAAAGAUGCAAAGAACUUUGAAAAGAGAGUUAAAGAGUGCCUGAAAUCGCUGGGAGGGAAGCGAGGGAAAGCAGUGUCUGGCGGUUAAAUCGCUCCCCCNNAGCCCUUCGGGGCUCGGNNUGCGCUCCGCUGUUGCCAGGGCCGGGUGGGGCCCGCGGGAUACGCGCCGCCGGGUAAGGUGGCCCAUGCGCCCUCGGGCGCGCGGGUGAAUACCGGCGUUUGCUGCGACCGUGGUCCCGGCCGGCCCUGACGAAAUGCUUUUCCUCACCCCGUCUUGAAACACGGACCAAGGAGUCUAACAUGGACGCGAGUACAGGGGUGGCAGAAACCCCGGUGCGCAGUGAAAGUGAACGCAGGUGAAAGGNNGCAUCGAUGNNGCCNGCANCAUCGACCGACCAUGUCUCUUCGGGGGCGAGGUUUGAGUGUGAGCGUGCAUGUUGGGACCCGAAAGAUGGUGAACUAUGCCUGAAUAGGGCGAAGCCAGGGGAAACUCUGGUGGAGGCUCGUAGCGAUUCUGACGUGCAAAUCGAUCGUGAGAUUUGGGUAUAGGGGCGAAAGACUAAUCGAACCAUCUAGUAGCUGGUUCCCUCCGAAAUUUCCCUCAGGAUAGCUGCAGCC